rnacentral:rRNA from 1 species
UACGGAGGCCCCAAGCGUUAGGCGGAAUCACUGGGCUUCAAGCGUGUGUAGGCGGAUCGUUAAGUGUCUUGUGAAAUCCCACGGCUCACCCGUGGAACUGCUGGGCAUACUGGCGAUCUUGGGCCAACUAGGGGCAGUCGGAACAAGCGGUGGAGCGGUGAAAUGCGUAGAUAUCGCUUGGAACGCCGAAGGUGAAAACAGACUGCUGGGGUUGCGCCGACGCUGAGACACGAAAGCCAGGGGAGCAAACGGG